AUGGUCGCUCCUCCUUUAUCUACAGGUCUGGCCAAAAACCCCUCCAUCACCCAAACCCCACAACUCCUGAGAGGCACGGCCGGCUCUGAGGUGGUGAUGACCUGUGAACAGAUGACUACAGACCAUGAGUGGAUGUUCUGGUAUCACCACCGCCGGGGGCAGGGGCUGGAGAUGGUCACCUACAUGCUGAGAGGAAAUCCACCCGGCUAUGAAGAUGGCUACAAGGUCGGCUACCAGAUGAACAUGACAAAAGGAGACAAACUCAGCUUUCUAAGGAUCACGUCUGCUGAAGCCAAGGAUGAGGGGAGUUAUUUCUGCGCUUCCAGUGAUGCACGGUGA